AUGGUGGUGCAGUCUGUAUCACUGUGGUACACUUUUGGUGGCGGGACGAAACUGUCAGUUGGACGUGACACAGUUCCCACCCUCACAGUCCUGCCCCCCUCCAGUGUGGAGCUGAAGCAGGGAAAGGCCACACUGGUGUGUCUGGCCAACAAGGGCUUCCCCUCAGACUGGACUCUGCGCUGGAAAGUGGACGGUACCAGUAGGAGCUCGGGCGUGGCCGGGAGUGUGGGGGUCCUGGGGAAGGACGGCCUGUACAGCUGGAGCAGCUCCCUGACUCUCAGUGAGAACGACUGGGUGAAGGCAGGGUCACUGACCUGUGAGGCCACAAAGGGCUCCCUGUCUGCCCCCCCUCAGACACUGAGGAGAGCCCACUGUUCUUAGUAGGCCGGGUGGAGGCCCAGCUCACACACUCUGGUCACACUGUUUUUACCCUGUUCUGCCCUCAGCCUCUCUGCUCCUUACUGCUGUCACACUGAGCUGAGCCUGUGUGUGAAUCCUUCCCCCAGCCUGAGUUUCAGUGCUAAUAUCUGACAUGUGCUCUGCUUGUGCUCUUCAACAAAUAUGCCUUCUUAUUUGUGUUUGUGUGGUUUUGAGAAUAGCUGUUAGAUCAAUAUCAUUGACAUAAUAAAGAUUCUUUGAAGAA